AUUCGAUGGAUACUGCUACUACAGGAAUUUGAUGUAGAGAUUCGGGAUAAGAAAGGCAUUGAGAACGUCGUUGCAGACCAUCUCUCACGAUUGGAGAAUGAAAAGGUGGUGGAUGACAGUCAAAUUCGAGAAAAGUUCCCCGACGAGAUCUUGCUAGCUGUAUCAACAAAGAUCCCACGGUAUGCUGAUUUUGUUAACUAUUUAGUGUCUGGAAGGUUGCCACCUGACUUGACCUUUCAUCAAAAGAAAAAAUUCCUACAUGAUGUCAAGUCAUUUCUGUGGGAUGAUCCAAUCUUGUUCAAAAGGUAUGCUGAUAGAAUAAUUAGGCGGUGUGUCCCUGUGGAAGAAACGCGAUCAAUCAUGCAGCAUUGCCAUUCUUCACCCUAUGGAGGUCAUUUCGGUCCUACACGUACUGCUGCAAAGGUAUUGCAAUCUGGUUUCUAUUGGCCAAAUUUGUUCAAAGACUGCUACAUUUUUGUGAAAACAUGUGACCGUUGUCAACGCA
rnacentral:lncRNA from 1 species